rnacentral:ncRNA from 1 species
UUGUGAGAAUUUUUGCAAUAUAGGGAAUUAAGGGAAGAUUAAGAAUAAGCAAGAUUACGUUUCCAAUAUACAUUGAAAUAAUAACGGCCCAAAAAAUUUGUGGCUCAUCAGUCAUUAAUCUUGGGCC